GGGGCCGUCGUCUAGCUUGGUCAAGGAUACCAGCCUGGGGCGCUGGCGGUCGUGGGUUCAAAUCCCACCGGCCCCACCA
rnacentral:tRNA from 1 species